CCCUGGUGUGGUAGCACAUGUCUUUAGUCUCAGUGCCCCUACAGGGAGAUGGGAGGUGGAGGCAGGAGAAUGUCUAGGAGCUCAUGGGUCAGUCAGCCUGCCUUAUGCAGACCUUGCAUCAACCACAAGGUGGAGAGCUGUUAAGACUGGUCAAGACCUGAAAAGAAUAAAGAGUGACACAGAGAAGAGUGUGCCAUGGAGAGACAGUAAACUUAUUCUUUUGGUCCUUUGGACACUGACUGGUGAGUCCACAGUGGGUGGAAUGAAGGCAGAAGACUGAGAAGACAAACGUUGGCACCAGUGCCUGGAAAAUGAUUCCCUGCAGGUGGAAAAAUCUUUCCGCCAUUCCUCCGAGGCGAGACUGAAAGCAAAGAAAUCAUGCAGAAAUGCUCACGGAAAAUCCGAGCAAGAAUAUUUUUAGCUGCCUGACCUUUUGGUGAGAGUAUUAUCUCCUUGAAAAGGAAAAAUUAUCAAAAGAAUGCUCUCUCUUCACAGAGGCAGGAGGUGGGGACAAGCCAGAGGUCGAACCACUCCAGCCUGUGCUUCACUUUGUGGGGUCAGGGUGACAGUGCCUUGUCUUUCUGCCUGAGUGAGACUCGGGCUUUGUUCUUGUGUAACCAUGUCCCCACUCGGCAGAGUGUGUGUGCAUGCAAAUUCUGGAUUCCCAUGAUAUCUUCCUCCCCUUUCUUUCUCCCUUCUCCCUUCUCUCCCUGUCUCUCUCCCCAGGCCUCCGUUCCUGUUCCCUUUUGUGCCUCUUUGUCUUCCUCUCUAGCCUGGCUCUGUUGGACUUGGGUGGUUUGCUUUGCCAUGAUACUUUCUGAAUUGUCUGCAUACUGUGUUCUGCUAAGUUCAUUGAUAGUAAGUUUGUUUUCAAAAUUCUCUGCUGUCUCCCACAUCAAGUCAAUUCCCAAUAACAUUAUGGGGUGGACGAGGCUUGGCUCUGCUUUGCAGUCUCUCUACAUUCAUUGUUUGUUUGCUUGCUUUUGUAGACUUCUCAGUUCUAGCUCUUCUCCCCUGCAUCCUAAAAUCCCAAGAACUAAAAGGUUCCAUGACCCGCGGGUUCAUCAUAUUGUCAAAACGUAGUUCUUGUGGCUUUGCUCUCUUCAUUUUCCGAAAUGACCAUUUUCCAGGGACCUUUCCUGGCUCUCGUUUCUUGGCGUGGCGGCUACUGGCUCUUUUCUUAGGAAGGAGCAGAGGUGAAGCCAGUUCACGAAUGACCUCGAUAGCUGAUUCCACUUUCUUAUUCCUCUGCAAACCUGAGGAAUGAGGAAUUCCCUGCAAGUCUGAGGAAUGAUCAGCAAAUGAAGGUUGAAUAUACUUAGCACGAAGUUAUAAAUACAAACGUACCGUGAAGUAAUGGUUUCACCUAUCUGCCAUUCAUUUCCUCCCAUUUUGAUUUUAAAGUCACAGUUAUAAUAAAGAGUCAAUAGCU
rnacentral:lncRNA from 1 species